rnacentral:tRNA from 1 species
UAAGGGAGACCUGCCCUCUCAAAUAUUGAUUGUUCUUUAAAAAAGAGCAUUAAAAGAUAUUGAGUUGGUCAUCCCAGGUCGGUGACUUGUAAUUGCCAAAAUACAAUAUUGCUUUCAAACUAUAAAUUGGUUCGAUUUAUUUUAUGGGCUAUUAGCUCAGGUGGUUAGAGCGCACCCCUGAUAAGGGUGAGGUCCCUGGUUCGAGUCCAGGAUGGCCCACCUGAAAAAUAGUUAUAUGAUCAGAAGUUAAAUUGUGAGUUGUAAACAGCUUAAAAUUAGGUGCUGAGAAGUAUUAACUAUUUAAAUGGGGGUUUAGCUCAGUUGGUAGAGCGCCUGCUUUGCAAGCAGGAUGUCAGCGGUUCGAGUCCGCUAACCUCCACCUGAAUCAUGUAGCACCUGAAUAAUUCAGCAACUGAUAUCUUGCUUGCAUGAUUUCAGACUGCUGGAAACAAUUCCAGUCAUUGAACCUUGAAAACUGCAUAGUCACGAAAAAAGCAGGCAGACACAGACAUUACUAAAAAAAGUAAGAAUCUUGUUUGCAAGUGAAAUUAAUUAGACCAAUAAGCG